CUUCUCAUUAUUGGAGUGACUAGUAUAGAAUCUGGGUAUUAGGUGCAAAAAUAGAAAAAGGAACGUGGAACGUUGGAUUGAAGAUGAGUGGUCCAGAUCUAGGUGGAGCGAUCUGUGCUCACAACUGCAUCCUUAUUUGCAAAAACGUCCCUUUGCUUCUCAUUAUUGCUUCGCGACCUUGUCCUUGGACCGAGAUCCGCACUAGCCCAUCUCCCUGCCGCUCGUCGACGGCGGCGGGGUCCAGAUCCGGUGCUCCUCCCCCUCCCAAUCCAUCUUCCAGGCAGGCUCAGCCUCCAGGCGCCCCUCGACGCCGCACUGCACCUCAUCGACCAGGACCCUGGCCGCCGCCGCCACGGUCUCCUCCUCCCUGGUGGCCGCGGACGCCAACUCGUGCAUCUGCCCAGGAAUCCAUGAGGCACCACCUGGCCGUCUCUGUGGCGGAUUACGACAGAUUUGCGACCAAGCUCAAGACCCCCGGCACAGACUUGUUCGCCAAGACGCAACCCGAUGGCCGCGUGCGCCAAGUGUUCUUCCUCGACCGGGACGGUGUGGAAUUCCCUUCUUGGAUGACUUUUAUGUUCGUUGGAUUCCUAUUUUUUCAAAAUUAAUUUCAGAGUUCGGACUGCUUGCCUUUUACUUCUUGUCAUCUAGUGUUAGAGAUGCAGUAUGCAUGUGAAAGUCUAUUACAUCUCUGGAAUUUUCUUCAUUAGUUACUGAAGCACGCUUAGCAGUUAGCACGGUGAGAGCAUAAGGAGAAGAAUCAUUACGAUUUUCUCAAAUAGCCUCUGCAAUUUAUCACAUACUCAAGUACCAUGUAUAUCUUCGUCAUGCUAGCGGAAACCUGUAGAACAGGGGGAAAGUGUAUCAUACUCAGGGUGGUCAAGGAUAGGUUGAACAUGGACAACUGUUACAGAUGUGCCUGAUUGAUAAUUUUAUUUUUCUGAAAAUUUGGUACGAUUUCCAUCAUUAUACUUUUCAGGGAAUCAAAUUUUCAAUGGAGGAAGAUGUCCUCGGCUUUCUUGGUUGCUACUGCAUGUCUGCAUCUCCAAUAUAUUGCAGUUAUGUCAUCAGUGAAUAAUUUAGUGAGUUUAGGAAUCAAAUUUGGGGACUCUAGUUUUCUCUUUAAUCAGUACUUUCUUGGCUGCCGGGUGCAAUUUUACAUUUCAGGAAUCAAAUUUUCAAUGCUUGCUUCAGCAUGUAGGUGUCACUUUCCAACCUUUCUGAUUGCAGGAAGCCAAAAGCCUAACAUGGAGUUAUCCACUUAACUCAAUCAGUUGGUGAACCAAACACUCAAAAUAAAUUAGUCUUUUUCCCUUCCCAAGUUACUUAUGAAAAUACUAUUGUCUAGCUCGUUUGGCACUUCUCUCUACGUUGCAUUUGCAGUAUAUGAUACAUGCAGUAGCCUCAUGCCGUGCAACCUUUCAUGUUUUCUUCACAUGCAAAUGUAGCAUUUGUAAGGGAGUGGUGUUCCAUGAUGUAAGGGCGUGCUCUGAUAAAAACAUGACAUGACAAUAGAGGUAGAUUUGACAACUGGAUGCCCAGGCUUAGAUAGGAACUGAGAUGACAUAGCAGCGGAAGAACACGAUGAUUUUCCAGUUCAUUUCAUUAGCACUUUGAUUUAUUGAGGGCGGCGAAGUGAAGGAAGCUCUGUGUGCGAAAAUAAACACACCUUUGUGUGUAAAAAGUGUACUGAUGGAUUUUCUGUGUAACUGGUAUUUCUGUUCACGCUUAAGAAGUGCUUCAUAAUGGCCGAAUUGUACAGUUCAAGUUGAGUGUUAAUCAUUAUCUAUAAUAAAUCAGGUUUCUGAA